UGAAGAAGAGAAUUUUUGCAAAGUUUCCCCAAAUUUAACGUCACCUCUUUAUGAAAAAGUGGGGAAGUGUCUGCUAACCAAGACAAGACGACUACGUAGAUAAGAACAAUCCUCCCGGAUCCCUUUACGGGGUGGAUUGGAUUUGCCGUCACCACCACCACCACUCGCUUCCCAAAGAUGCUAAUUUAUGGCGGGAGCGCUCUCGCUCUCCCGGCGGGUCUGCUGCCUGCCGGAGCGGGCAGGUGAAGGGAGAGCCGUGUGAGCCGGGCUGAUGCAGCCACCGAGAGCGGCUGGGGGAGCACCGGCGCCGGCAGCUCAGCCCGUUCCCGGGAAUCUCCGAGCCCCGGGAGGCAGGUGCCCGAGCUGCCGCCGCCGCCGCCGCAGAUGCAGGGAAAACCGCCUGACAUCAUGGGAGCGGGACAAGAGCGCACUUUGAAGGGCUCCUGGGCAGGACUUCAAGUGAAAUCAUACGCCGGGGAGGAAUCCG